rnacentral:rRNA from 1 species
CGAAUCAACGCUGGCGGCGUGCCUAAUACAUGCAAGUCGAACGCGAAAGUCCCGCAAGGGAUGAGUAGAGUGGCAAACGGGUGAGUAACGCGUGGGUGACCUGCCUUCGAGUGGGGGAUAACGUUUCGAAAGGAACGCUAAUACCGCAUGACAUCCUGCCUUUUAACAGGCGAGAUCAAAGCCGGGGAUCGCAAGACCUGGCGCUUGAAGAGGGCCCGCGUCCGAUUAGCUAGUUGGUGGGGUAAUGGCUCACCAAGGCAACGAUC